GAUGAACGCUAGCGGGAGGCCUAACACAUGCAAGCCGAGCGGUAUGGAUAGCUUGCUAUCCAGAGAGCGGCGUACGGGUGCGUAACACGUGUGCAACCUACCUUUAUCUGGGGGAUAGCCUUUCGAAAGGAAGAUUAAUACCCCAUAAUAUAAUGAUUGGCAUCAAUUAUUAUUGAAAACUCCGGUGGAUAGAGAUGGGCACGCGCAAGAUUAGAUAGUUGGUGAGGUAACGGCUCACCAAGUCAAUGAUCUUUAGGGGUCCUGAGAGGGAGAUCCCCCACAGUGAGAUGGAGACAGGGACGAGACUCCUACGGGAGGAGGCAGCGAGGAAUAUUGAACAGGGGGGGAGAGCUUGACCCACCCUCCCCGCGGGAGGGAUGCCGGUCCUAGGGAUUGUAACUUUCUUUUGAACAGGAAUAACCCCCCCCCCGGGGGGGUAGCGGAGGGUACUUAACAAAAAAGCCCCGGCUAACCCCGUG
rnacentral:rRNA from 1 species